GAAUCAUUGGGCGUAAAGCGCCUGUAGGUUGUUUAAUAAGUCUGUUGUUAAAGCCUAGGGCUUAACCCUAGAAAAGCAAUGGAAACUACUAGACUAGAGUAUGGCAGGGGUAGAGGGAAUUUCUAGUGUAGCGGUGAAAUGCGUAGAUAUUAGAAAGAACACCGGUGGCGAAAGCGCUCUACUGGACCAUUACUGACACUCAGAGGCGAAAGCUAGGGUAGCAAAAGGGAUUAGAUACCCCUGUAGUCCUAGCCGUAAACGAUGGAUACUAGAUGUUGUGCUUCAUGUACAGUAUCGUAGCUAACGCGUUAAGUAUCCCGCCUGGGGAGUACGCUCGCAAGGGUGAAACUCAAAGGAAUUGACGGGGGCCCGCACAAGCGGUGGAGCAUGUGGUUUAAUUCGAUGCAACGCGAAGAACCUUACCAGGGCUUGACAUACUACGAAUUCUUUUGAGAAAAAGAAGUGCCUUCGGGAACGUAGAUACAGGUGGUGCAUGGCUGUCGUCAGCUCGUGUCGUGAGAUGUUGGGUUAAGUCCCGCAACGAGCGCAACCCUUAUUUUUAGUUACUAAUUCGUUAGGUUCUCUAGAAAGACUGCCGGUGACAAACCGGAGGAAGGUGAGGAUGACGUCAAGUCAGCAUGCCCCUUAUGUCCUGGGCUACACACGUGCUACAAUGAUUAAGACAAAGAGUCGCGAGCUCGCGAGAGUCAGCUAAUCUCAUAAACUUAGCCUAAGUUCAGAUUGUAGGCUGCA
rnacentral:rRNA from 1 species